rnacentral:rRNA from 1 species
GACGACCUUUGGCGGCGUGCCUAACACAUGCAAGUCGAACGAGAAUCUUUGAACAGAACUUUUCGGAGUGACGUUCAAAGAGGAAAGUGGCGGACGGGCGAGUAACGCGUGAGUAACCUGCCCAUAAGAGGGGGAUAAUCCAUGGAAACGUGGACUAAUACCGCAUAUUGUAGUUAAGUUGCAUGACUUGAUUAUGAAAGAUUUAUCGCUUAUGGAUGGACUCGCGUCAGAUUAGAUAGUUGGUGAGGUAACGGCUCACCAAGUCAACGAUCUGUAGCCGAACUGAGAGGUUGAUCGGCCGCAUUGGGACUGAGACACGGCCCAGACUCCUACGGGAGGCAGCAGUGGGGAAUAUUGCGCAAUGGGGGCAACCCUGACGCAGCAACGCCGCGUGCAGGAAGAAGGUCUUCGGAUUGUAAACUGUUGUCGCAAGGGAAGAAGACAGUGACGGUACCUUGUGAGAAAGUCACGGCUAACUACGUGCCAGCAGCCGCGGUAAUACGUAGGUGACAAGCGUUGUCCGGAUUUACUGGGUGUAAAGGGCGCGUAGGCGGACUGUCAAGUCAGUCGUGAAAUACCGGGGCUUAACCCCGGGGCUGCGAUUGAAACUGACAGCCUUGAGUAUCGGAGAGGAAAGCGGAAUUCCUAGUGUAGCGGUGAAAUGCGUAGAUAUUAGGAGGAACACCAGUGGCGAAGGCGGCUUUCUGGACGACAACUGACGCUGAGGCGCGAAAGUGUGGGGAGCAAACAGGAUUAGAUACCCUGGUAGUCCACACCGUAAACG